rnacentral:lncRNA from 1 species
AUUUCUUUCUCUUUGCUUGUACUUCAAGUUCUUCUGCAGCCAACAUCAAAAUUACAGCUUUAGCGAGACAUGUGGUAGUAUUUAUUCUAUUCAUGAUAUUGUUCCGAUGUCUGUUUUGAAAACUCAUUUUAUGUGAUAAGAGAUUUUCAAACUGAUAUCACAUUAAUUCGAAAUCACAGGGGAUAAAAUCAGUUGUUGAUCAUAUAAUGUGAUACUGGCCUUAGAGUUGUGCAGGACCUGUUGAUAAUGAAUAAGUAUGAAGUCAUAGGUGGCCUUGCAAAUAGUCUCAUCAGAGUGACUUGAACAUGCAAAUUAGGACAAAUGGAAAUUCCAUCUCUGAAACCAUAACAUAUAGAAGAAUAUUUCCAAUUCUUCAGUAUGUUGUUCUGAACAUUUUAAAACAAAACUACAUUGAAAUCAGAUGAAUGGUUUUCUUAAAAUGUCAAAAAACAUUGCUUAUCUAGUUUCCCAUCCUCAACAUAAAAGCCUUCUUUUACAUUGUAAAUGCAAUGAUGGUUAUGUUACUGAUGUAAACAUUAUCCUGGAAGGAUGAAUGUCACUACAUAUGUUUAAUGUGGUAUCUAUCUGUUCCAAUACAUAAAUGUACAUGAUUUCUGACAGAAUCCAGUACAUUGGAUAUCAUGACAGGUUAUUUCUGUACAGACUAGUUAAAUUCAUUCCUUUAGAUCAUGCAUCGAGGCUAGCCAAUGGUAUCUUGCAAUUCGACACUAAUCCAUCAUCAAAUUAUUGUCGAAUUGAGAAACUGUCAAAUUGCGGACAAUAUUUCCUAUAUGAGACUAUAGAAAAUAG